AUGCGCGGUGUAUAACCAGAGACAGCAGAGAAAUCAUUCCCAGACCAUCUAUGGUGUAACUCCAGGAAGAUAAGAACCAAUAGCCUACAGCUGAAUCAAGUACAGCAUUGCUAAAGGAGAAGCAGGCAAGACCUUGAACGUUUAUUUAUUUAAAUACUGAGUUUUUACGAUCGACAACAAAUCACAGCCAUUCUCAACGCUUUUGUGUUAUAUGGGUUUUGUAAUCAGCGUGAGUCAUUUGACAUGGAGGGCAACGCAAUGACAAUGGUGUAACUGAUAAGGGAUGUUGUGUGAAAGCGCACUCUGGGGCAUGGAUCACCAUGAAGACUUGGCGAGAGAACUCACUCCUCCUCACGCGUCCCUAUCAGAGCCAACAUCAGACCGGGGUAGUUUCUACCCUCAUCUCUCCAAAUGCGCCAACAUCGAGGUUGAUGGCAGGGAAAAUAUGGAAAACCAUACAGUGAAAGAGGCGGUGAAACAGAGAUCGGGUCAUCAAGAAAAUGGACUGGUCUCAGGAGACCAAUUAGUGAGGAAUAUGGCAUCACCCCAUUCUACAGAGCGAUUUGGACCAACAGGGAGAGGGAAGUCAUCAGGAGCCGGACGGACACUGGUACCCUGUCAGACUUCAUCUCCAAGCCUCUCGCAGAGUCGCACGAAAAACUAUGUAGUGUAAAGCUUGCCUCUUCAUUCUCCAUGGACAUAUUUAACAGUGGCUUAUGGAACAAUGUUAUUUAUUUUGUAUGUCAUUUCACUAUCCUUCAUAACCUGUGCUUUUUCGCUGACACGGUCGCCAGUUGUACGGUGUUUCCUCCGACACAAUGGUGGGGCUGGCUUUCGGUGAGCAGUGUGUCAAGUAGCAGUGGGGCUUGUCAGUGUCGUGUUUCGGAGGACGCAUGACUUUCGACCUUCGCCUCUCUGGAGUCGGUACGGGAGUUGUAGCGAUGCGACAAGGCUGUAACUACCAAUUGGAUUUCACGAAAAUGUGGAGAAAAAGGUGUAAAAAGUACAAACAAAAAUUACAAUAACCUGUGCUUGAUAUCCUGUUCAACCCUUCCUGUGAAUUAAAUAGCCCUAUAGGCCUAUUGCUUAUUGCAUUUGUUUGAUUGAAGAAUGUUCAUUUAUUGACUAAAUGUGCAGUGUUUAUACAUUGUUCUUUCAACUAUUUAUUAUUGAUGGAGACGAAGCCAGCCUUAACAUUCACCAUCACUGGAACACUGUAACAGGAUGGCAUGGAAUGAAUCCUGUACUCUAUUCUGUGUUGAUGUUAUUAACCAAUAGGGAUAGAAUAGGCCUGUAAUUGUUUCUUAUCAUUAUUCCUUUCCAUUCAAUACAGGUCCAUUCCAGAUAGUGAAGAUAGAUAUUUAGGCCUAUGAAAUAUCUAUCUAGGUCUAUGAAAAUACUGUAGAUGUUAGUUACCAUAAAUUACCUCAGAUCCAGGUUUAUAAGGAAGCACUACGAGAGUCAAAUUUAGUUGUACAUUUAUGUUCAGUCAUUUUUCUUAGAAACAGAACACCAUAUUUUGCUAAAA